rnacentral:rRNA from 1 species
GAUGAACGCUAGCGGCAGGCUUAACACAUGCAAGUCGAGGGGUAUAGGUUUUCGGACCUAGAGACCGGCGCACGGGUGCGUAACGUGUAUGCAAUCUACCUUUUACAGAGGGAUAGCCCAGAGAAAUUUGGAUUAAUACCUCAUAGUAUUAUUGAAUGGCAUCAUUUAAUAAUUAAAGUCACAACGGUAAAGAUGAGCAUGCGUCCCAUUAGCUAGUUGGUAAGGUAACGGCUUACCAAGGCAACGAUGGGUAGGGGUCCUGAGAGGGAGAUCCCCCACACUGGUACUGAGACACGGACCAGACUCCUACGGGUGGCUG